rnacentral:rRNA from 1 species
UACGGAGGGUGCAAGCGUUAUCCGGAUUCACUGGGUUUAAAGGGUGCGUAGGCGGGUAAGUAAGUCCGUGGUGAAAAUCUCUGAGCUUAACUCAGAAAACUGCCGUGGAUACUAUUUUGCCUUUGAAAUAUUUGUGGGAGGUGAGCGGGAAAUAUGUCAUGUAGCGGGUGAAAAUGCUUUAGAUAUGACAUAGAAACACCCAAAUUUGCGAAAGGGCAGCUCACUACACAAAUCAUUUUGACGCUGAGGCACGAAAGCGUGGGGAUCAAAACAGGA